AAACCUUUCAAAAAUGUUUGGGGCUUACCAAGAAAAGCAGAAUCCCAGAUUUUUAGGAACUUCAGCAGUACUGUGUGUCAGUUUGGAAGAGCGAGAGGGACUAAAAUGUUAUGCUAAUAGACUCAGGGCAAAAGUGGGAUCCAGUACAGACCCAGUCCAACUUCUGUGUCAUAAGGCCCAACAAGACAUGUCAACACCGAGGUUUGGGAAACCACAGUGGGAGAAUUUCCAAGAUUUGGAAGAGGAGAUGUGCCUCAGACGUUCCGAACUUCACUCCCAUGGGCUGAGACUGGUAAUUCCAGGUACAGCACCAGGUCCUUCUGCUCUGGAUGUCACCAAGAUCUCCUGGAGGGCUGCACUCUGGAGGUACCGCAUCCAAAGCUUCUGGCUCUUGGGUCUGAGAUGCAUUUGUUGCAGCCUGACAGGUUCAGAUGUGGCACUGUCUGCAAAACCAACACCACUCAUAGGAGCAGUGCGGAGGUUGGUGUGUCUCGGUGACCAACUGGCAGUCUGAGCUGCACUGAAACUGUUGGCACGCUCCAUUGUGAGAUGGGGAUUGUGCAGACUCCAAAGAGAAAAGCAAACAGGCACCAAUACAAUAACAGCUGCUUCCAACUGUAACACCUGACGCAAAGAUGUUAAACAGACCUAAAAGGAGGGACCAUUAAAUGAAACGUAUUCUUUUAGCUUUCACUUCCUGAAGGGUUGUUGGGUGGUUUUGUUGUUGUUGUUGUUGUUCUGAGUUGUUGUUGUGUUGUUUAAUAACUAGAACCAUUGCAGUGGACUGGAAGUGCACACAAGGAGUGGGCAGAGGGACGGGGAUGUCCCAUUCCUCCUCUUGUAUUGCAGAGUUUGAAAAUUGAAAAAUACUUCAUUAAAAUAGAGACAGUGUGAGAUGCAGUG
ensembl:lncRNA